CUUUUGGAGAGUUUGAUCCUGGCUCAGGACGAACGCUGGCGGCGUGCCUAAUACAUGCAAGUCGAGCGGACCGAACGAGAGCUUGCUCUUGUUCGGUCAGCGGCGGACGGGUGAGUAACACGUGGGCAACCUGCCCGCAAGACCGGGAUAACUCCGGGAAACCGGAGCUAAUACCGGAUAACACCAAAGACCGCAUGGUCUUUGGUUGAAAGGCGGCUUCG
rnacentral:rRNA from 1 species